rnacentral:lncRNA from 1 species
GACACAAGUCGUUGUUAAAUGUUAGUGUCCAACACUUGUGCUCGUUGCAAUUUGUCUGGUAAGAAUAAGACUGAACUUUAAAAGGAAUCUAAGGCUGUAAAAGGUCUUAGAAAGUGAAAUUAUUGCAUUUCUAGUAAUGCCUUAAUGUUUCUUUAGAAAAUAUUCAUGCUUAUAAAGCUUUUUGUCCUAGCAAGUUGUGUGUUAGAUGUCGCUAGCCUGUUUUGACUGAUAAGAUCUUUUCCCCCCGUCCAAAAUUGGUGUAGUUCAUCUGAGCUGAUGCUUUCCAUUUGUAUAUAAUCUGUGGUCAUUUCCAUCUUCCAAAUGAUUCAUAAUACAUAUGUUUGACACCGUUAGUCGCAAAAGAUUAUCUUUUUGUUUUUCUGUGCCAUUUCCACCUCCACACCUUUUGGUGUUCUGAAGUUAAGUUUUUUAUGAUUAUUUGGUGAGGCAUAUUGCAUAUUCUCGCCUUCAAAAUCAAUCAAUUUGUCAAAUUUCUUUAGUGUUUCAGUUUUUGUUCUGAAUCUGUCCAUUAAUCAACCUUCUUAAAUCUAUUACUUGCAGAUAUUGUUUUUCUCACAUCAGUUUUAAGCAG